CCUACGGGAGGCAGCAGUGGGGGAUAUUGCACAAUGGGGGAAACCCUGAUGCCUCUCCGCCGCUUCUGUUCCUCCUCUCCUCUUCUCUUCCCUCCCUUUCCUCCUUUAAGAAAAUGACGGUACCUGAAGAAGAAGCCCCGGCUAACUACGUGCCAGCAGCCGCGGUAAUACGUAGGGGGCAAGCGUUAUCCGGAUUUACUGGGUGUAAAGGGGGCGCAGACGGCGAUGCAAGCCAGGAGUGAAAGCCCGGGGCCCAACCCCGGGACUGCUCUUGGAACUGCGUGGCUAGAGUGCAGGAGGGGCAGGCGGAAUUCCUGGUGUAGCGGUGAAAUGCGUAGAUAUCAGGAGGAACACCGGUGGCGAAGGCGGCCUGCUGGACUGCAACUGACGUUGAGGCCCGAAAGCGUGGGGAGCAAACAGGAGUAGAUAAAAAGGUAGUC
rnacentral:rRNA from 1 species